rnacentral:rRNA from 1 species
UACGUAGGGUGCAAGCGUUGUCCGGAAUUAUUGGGCGUAAAGAGCUCGUAGGCGGCUUGUCACGUCGACUGUGAAAACCCGGGGCUCAACUCCGGGCCUGCAGUCGAUACGGGCUGGCUUGAGUGCGGUAGGGGAGACUGGAAUUCCUGGUGUAGCGGUGAAAUGCGUUGAUAUCGCUAGGAACUCCGGUGGCGAAGGCGAGGUGCUGGACCCUUUCUGACGCUGAGGCGCGAAAGCCAGGGGAGCGAACGGG